UAGAUACCCUGGUAGUCCACGCCGUAAACGAUGAGUACUAAGUGUCGGGUUAAACCGGUACUGAAGUUAACACAUUAAGUACUCCGCCUGAGUAGUACGUACGCAAGUAUGAAACUUAAAGGAAUUGACGGGACUCCGCACAAGCGGUGGAUCAUGUUGUUUAAUUCGAAGAUACCCGAAAAACCUUACCAGGUCUUGACAUGUUUUUGCAAAAUGAUAGUAAUAUCGUGGAGGUUACCAGAAACACAGGUGGUGCAUGGUUGUCGUCAGCUCGUGUCGUGAGAUGUUAGGUUAAGUCCUAAAACGAGCGAAACCCUUAUCGUUAGUUGCCAGCACGUUAUGGUGGGGACUUUAACGAGACUGCCAAUGAUAAAUUGGAGGAAGGUGAGGAUCACGUCAAAUCAGCAUGCCCCUUAUGACCUGGGCUACAAACGUGAUACAAUGGCUGUUACAAAGGGUAGCUGAAACGCAAGUUCUUGGCCAAUCCCCAAAAACAGUCCCAGUCCGGAUUGAAGUCUGCAACUYGACUUCAUGAAGUYGGAAUCSSUAGUAAUCGCGAAUCAGCAUGUCGCGGUGAAUACGUUCUYGGGGUUUGUACACACCKCCCGUCAAACCACGAAAGUUGGCAAUACCCCAAAACGGUAGCCUAACUCGUUUAUUCGAGAGGGCGCCGUCUAAGGUAGGGUCGAUGAUUGGGGUUAAGUCGUAACAAGGUAUCCCUACCGGAAGGUGGGGAUGGAUCACCUCCUUUCUAAGGAAACCAAUAAAAUCAAUCAUCUUCAGUUUUGAAAGACUUAGGCAACUAAGUUUUUCUUCGUGACUUCACGAAGGGCCUAUAGCUCAGCUGGUA
rnacentral:sRNA from 1 species